rnacentral:rRNA from 1 species
GACGAACGCUGGCGGCGUGCUUAACACAUGCAAGUCGAACGAAGUGGCGAACGGGUGAGUAACGCGUAAUCAACCUGCCCUUCCGAGGGGGACAACAGUUGGAACCGACUGCUAAUACCGCAUACUGAAGGACGGGAUUGCGUCGGAUUAGCUAGUUUGGGGGGUAACGGCCCACCAAGGCGGUGAUCAGUAGGCGGUCUGGGAGGAUUAACGGGCCAAUUGGGACUGGGACAAGGCCCAGGCUCCUAAGGGGGGCAAGAGGGGGGGAUCGUCCGACAAGGACGAAAGUCGGAGGGAGCCACGCCGCGGGAGUGAUGACGGCCUUCGGGUUGGAAAGGUCUGUUAAGCGGGACGCGGUACCGGAAGAGGAAGCAACGGCUAACUACGUGCCAGCAGCCGCGGUAAUUC